rnacentral:rRNA from 1 species
UACGUAGGGUGCGAGCGUUGUCCGGAAUCAUUGGGCGUAAAGCGCGUGUAGGCGGCCCGAUAAGUCCGCUGUGAAAGUCCAGGGCUCAACCCUGGGAUGCCGGUGGAUACUGUCGGGCUCGAGUCCGGAAGAGGCGAGUGGAAUUCCUGGUGUAGCGGUGAGAUGCGCAGAUAUCAGGAGGAACACCAAUGGCGAAGGCAGCUCGCUGGGACGUGACUGACGCUGAGACGCGAAAGCGUGGGGAGCAAACAGG